AUUGAACGCUGGCGGCAGGCCUAACACAUGCAAGUCGAGCGGAUGAGUGGAGCUUGCUCCAUGAUUCAGCGGCGGACGGGUGAGUAAUGCCUAGGAAUCUGCCUGGUAGUGGGGGACAACGUUUCGAAAGGAACGCUAAUACCGCAUACGUCCUACGGGAGAAAGUGGGGGAUCUUCGGACCUCACGCUCUCAGAUGAGCCUAGGUCGGAUUAGCUAGUUGGGGAGGUAAAGGCUCACCAAGGCGACGAUCCGUAACUGGUCUGAGAGGAUGAUCAGGCACACUGGAACUGAGACACGGGCCAGACUCCUACGGGAGGCAGCAGUGGGGAAUAUUGGACAAUGGGCGAAAGCCUGAUCCAGCCAGGCCGCGUGUGUGAAGAAGGUCUUCGGAUUGUAAAGCACUUUAAGUUGGGAGGAAGGGCAGCAAGUUAAUACCUUGCUGUUUUGACGUUACCAACAGAAUAAGCACCGGCUAACUUCGUGCCAGCCGCCGCCGUAAGAC
rnacentral:rRNA from 1 species